UGGGGAAUAUUGCACAAUGGGCGCAAGCCUGAUGCAGCUAUGCCGCGUGUGUGAAGAAGGCCUUCGGGUUGUAAAGCACUUUCAGCGGGGAGGAAGGCGAUAAGGUUAAUAACCUCAUCGAUUGACGUUACCCGCAGAAGAAGCACCGGCUAACUCCGUGCCAGCAGCCGCGGUAAUACGGAGGGUGCAAGCGUUAAUCGGAAUUACUGGGCGUAAAGCGCACGCAGGCGGUCUGUCAAGUCGGAUGUGAAAUCCCCGGGCUCAACCUGGGAACUGCAUUCGAAACUGGCAGGCUAGAGUCUUGUAGAGGGGGGUAGAAUUCCAGGUGUAGCGGUGAAAUGCGUAGAGAUCUGGAGGAAUACCGGUGGCGAAGGCGGCCCCCUGGACAAAGACUGACGCUCAGGUGCGAAAGCGUGGGGAGCAAACAGG
rnacentral:rRNA from 1 species